CCUAUAAGGGACGGAUUGAAUUAGGCUCCGUCCACCCCGCAAAUUGCCCUCCGCUGAGAAGCUACAUCUUUGUGCACUCGAAUACUUGUACCCAGAAAAUAUUACUACAUCAAAAUCGAUGGCUCAUAUCAGCCGCUACAAGCCUUCUACUCAAUCCGACGGCUACGGAACGAAGGCUUCAACGCGUUGAAGCCUCGCUUUCCGCCCGCGCAUGCUCGCUACGGCAACCACCAAGCCGCCGGAGUUCGAAUCCAAAUGCGGGCGGAAAAAAAAUCCCACCCCACUCGACGCCUCCUCCCCCUGCCUCUCCUGCUGCCUUCUCUCCCCACCUCCCCUCACACAUCCACCGUCGCCGCCCUCCCUCAACAGUGGAGGGCGCGGCCGGCGACCAGAUGGGCGCAGGCAGCGCCAGCGGAUCUGGCCGCCGCACUCUGGUCUCCGCCCGGAUCCGGACGCGGCAGUCGGAGGGGCCGCUCCUGGGCGUCGCGAGGGAGCAGCGGGGCGAGCCGGAGGCGGCGGCGAUGCCGUGCGGGGCGCGCCGGAGGCCGCAGUGCGCGGGGUGCCGCUGUCGCUGCCUUGCGACGCGGGGCCGCGGCGGGGGGUGCCGGAGGUCGCGGCGGGCGGGACCACCGUCGCUAAACCGGGCGGUACCGUCGUCGCCACCAUCGCCGCCUUGCGAUGUGAGGCCGCGGCUGGGGCGCCGAAGGUCGUGGCGGGCGGGGCCACCAUCGCCGUCGGACGAGGCCGCCGCCGCCGCUUCUCCUCCCAACACGGCGACCUCCGUAGUCCUCUCCCCCAAGGGCGCCACCAUAUCGCGGCCACCAGGACGAUGACCACAAGGGCGAGCGCCAUGGGGUCGCGGCCGAUAGGACGACGGCCACAAGGGCGGGCACCACUAGCUCGGCGGCGGUGGCGGGAGACACAGCAGCGGAGCUCAGGAGCGCGCGGGAGGACGUCAGGCAGCUGCUCUGGCCGCUUCUGUCCGCCUGCCGAUCUAGGUCUGUCGACCUCAAGCUGCAGCUCAAAGAAUGUAAUGAUGGUGAUCCAAGAUUGGUUGUCAGGAGAGCAGUUCAAAACUGAUUCGAUGCUGUCUGAAGAUGUGGGCACCUCCGUAGAGCUCCUCCCACUGGAGAGGCAAGCAAGAGAGCAGCAGCCUUGAGGGUACUUCUUAAGAUGAGUCGGACGAUGAUGAUGAUGUGAGUUGAUUUCAUUUUACCACCAUGGUGGCACAGAUUAACGUUUAGUUCUCAUUAAUCUAGGAUAAAUUGCCAGCAAACGAAUUGCUUAUUUGAAUGACUAUGACAUUUUUGAAUUAUUAGACUAAACUUUUCUUACUAUAACAUUUUAUAAUUAACAGACUUUAAACUUUUCUUGCAGAAAAUUAUAGAAACUUUACCGUGUUUGCAAAUAAUGGGAAUGAACUUUGUUUUAGGGAUUUAUGUCUGUAAGACCUUAAGUUCUUCAUGAUAAGGUUCUUCAUGGUGUAAAUAUAUUUCCUUUACCUUAUUAUUUAUAUGCAUGUAUGAGCUAACAAGUGAUCAGAUUUGAUCCAACUGUAGACCGAGUUAUGCAUCUGGUUCUCUCAUUUUGGAAGUAUUUUAGAUUCAACUAAAUCCAGUGUGAAAGAAGGAAAGUACUGGUUUUAAACUUUAAACCGAGUCCUAAAUACAAUGUCAUUGGAUAGGUUAAUUGAAAUGGCUCAUUAUUCUCUGCCUUAAUUCUUCUUACUUCCUACGAAAAGGACACUUGCUCAGCGCAUCUUGGAAUAGUAGCCAUAUCUGGUACCAACCUGAUAUCAGUAUCAUCCAAAGAAUCUGAGAGCUAACAUGCACAUUCUGAAUUCUGAAUUUUUUAGUUUGUUGGAAUAUUAUCAUCAGAAUCAGUAGUCACAAAUUCAGUUUACAUCUUUAUUUUUAAGUUCUUAAUUAGGACUCAUGGUCGUUUGGUCCUGUCUUGCUUCAUGUUUGUUCUUAUUGUUGUGAGGUAGACCCACUCUUACCCAUCCCUAACAUUUAGUGCCAGAUCUAUUUGAGGUAGCGGGAAAACGUAUACCAUGCAACCACUAAGCAUCCCAGGAUAUUUUGAGAUUAAUGCAUUAGCAUUAGCGGAAAAACUGUGUGCUGAUUGACAUUUUAGACCUGUAAUGAUUUUACUGUACAUAGAAUCUGUGAGCACCUAACCUAUAGAUUUAGGCUUUUAAUAGCUUCGACAGCUUGUUUUAUGCUAUUUGUAUGGCCUGGUUUCAUAAUGCUUGUGAAAACUCGAGUUCUGGAUGGGGUUGGUGUCCUUCACUGAAGAUGAAUGAAGUACCUACAGGAUCCAUAUUUUUAUUGGAGUACAUGAGGGAGGGAACAAGUUUCCGAGCAUGCUGUAUCAAGGCCUCAAGAGGAGGAAGUGCUUUCACUCUCUAUGUGAAUAAUUAGGUAUCCAAAAAUGUGAAAUAUAUUUACUCUGAUGGCUGCUCUAUUGAUAUGUAUGAAGAACAAACCAGUUUUAUGUCUGCUUGUACAAGCCGUCAUUAAUUUGUUUGUGACAUGUGGUAACUGUGAUCUAAUAUUUUGUAUGGUGUACAUCU